rnacentral:rRNA from 1 species
GCAAGUCGAACGGAGGUCUUCGGAAGUUAGUGGAGAACGGGAGAGUAACACGUGGGCGACCUACCUCAAAGUACGGCCUAACCCCGGGAAACCGGAGCUAAUUCCGUAUGUGCUCGUAUCUCGUUUGAUACGCGUAAAGAUUUAUCGCUUGGAGAUGGGCCCGCGGCGCAUCAGCUUGUUGGUGGGGUAACGGCCUACCAAGGCGACGACGCGUAGCCGACCUGAGAGGGUGACC